rnacentral:rRNA from 1 species
AACGUAGGUGGCGAGCGUUAUCCGGAUUUACUGGGCGUAAAGCGCGUGUAGGCGGUCUGAAUAGUCUGCUGUGAAAGCGCCUGGCUUAACCGGGCGAGGUCGGCGGAAACUCUCAGACUGGAGGCCGGUAGAGGGGGGUGGAAUUCCCGGUGUAGUGGUGAAAUGCGUAGAGAUCGGGAGGAACACCUGUGGCGAAGGCGGCCCCCUGGGCCGCGCCUGACGCUGAGACGCGAAGGCUAGGGGAGCGAACGGG